rnacentral:rRNA from 1 species
UACGUAGGGCGCAAGCGUUAUCCGGAAUUAUUGGGCGUAAAGAGCUCGUAGGCGGUUUGUCGCGUCUGCCGUGAAAGCCCCGGGCUCAACCUGGGAAUGGCAUUGGAAACUGGCUGGCUGGAGUGUGGCAGAGGGGGGUGGAAUUCCACGUGUAGCAGUGAAAUGCGUAGAGAUGUGGAGGAACACCGAUGGCGAAGGCAGCCCCCUGGGCCAACACUGACGCUCAGGCACGAAAGCGUGGGGAGCAAACAGG